GUCCACGCCGUAAACGAUGGAUGCUAGCCGUUGGCGAGCUUGCUCGUCAGUGGCGCAGCUAACGCUUUAAGCAUCCCGCCUGGGGAGUACGGUCGCAAGAUUAAAACUCAAAGGAAUUGACGGGGGCCCCGCACAAGCGGUGGAGCAUGUGGUUCAAUUCGAAGCAACGCGAAGAACCUUACCAGCCCUUGACAUGCCACGACGGUUUCCAGAGAUGGAUUCCUCCCCGCAAGGGGCGUGGACACAGGUGCUGCAUGGCUGUCGU
rnacentral:rRNA from 1 species